GGGUUGUGAGGUUAAGCGACUAAGCGUACACGGUGGAUGCCCUGGCAGUCAGAGGCGAUGAAGGACGUGCUAAUCUGCGAUAAGCGCCGGUAAGGUGAUAUGAACCGUUAUAACCGGCGAUUUCCGAAUGGGGAAACCCAGUGUGAUUCGUCACACUAUCAUUAACUGAAUCCAUAGGUUAAUGAGGCGAACCGGGGGAACUGAAACAUCUAAGUACCCCGAGGAAAAGAAAUCAACCGAGAUUCCCCCAGUAGCGGCGAGCGAACGGGGAGGAGCCCAGAGCCUGAAUCAGCAUGUGUGUUAGUGGAAGCGUCUGGAAAGGCGCGCGAUACAGGGUGACAGCCCCGUACACAAAAGCGCAUGUGCUGUGAGCUCGAUGAGUAGGGCGGGACACGUGGUAUCCUGUCUGAAUAUGGGGGGACCAUCCUCCAAGGCUAAAUACUCCUGACUGACCGAUAGUGAACCAGUACCGUGAGGGAAAGGCGAAAAGAACCCCGGCGAGGGGAGUGAAAAAGAACCUGAAACCGUGUACGUACAAGCAGUGGGAGCACCUUCGGGGUGUGACUGCGUACCUUUUGUAUAAUGGGUCAGCGACUUAUAUUCUGUAGCAAGGUUAACCGUAUAGGGGAGCCGGAGGGAAACCGAGUCUUAACCGGGCGUUAAGUUGCAGGGUAUAGACCCGAAACCCGGUGAUCUAGCCAUGGGCAGGUUGAAGGUUGGGUAACACUAACUGGAGGACCGAACCGACUAAUGUUGAAAAAUUAGCGGAUGACCUGUGGCUGGGGGUGAAAGGCCAAUCAAACCGGGAGAUAGCUGGUUCUCCCCGAAAGCUAUUUAGGUAGCGCCUCGUGAAUUCAUCUCCGGGGGUAGAGCACUGUUUCGGCUAGGGGGCCAUCCCGGCUUACCAACCCGAUGCAAACUGCGAAUACCGGAGAAUGUUAUCACGGGAGACACACGGCGGGUGCUAACGUCCGUCGUGAAGAGGGAAACAACCCAGACCGCCAGCUAAGGUCCCAAAGUCAUGGUUAAGUGGGAAACGAUGUGGGAAGGCCCAGACAGCCAGGAUGUUGGCUUAGAAGCAGCCAUCAUUUAAAGAAAGCGUAAUAGCUCACUGGUCGAGUCGGCCUGCGCGGAAGAUGUAACGGGGCUAAACCAUGCACCGAAGCUGCGGCAGCGACGCUGAUGCGUUGUUGGGUAGGGGAGCGUUCUGUAAGCCUGCGAAGGUGACCUGUGAGGGUUGCUGGAGGUAUCAGAAGUGCGAAUGCUGACAUAAGUAACGAUAAAGCGGGUGAAAAGCCCGCUCGCCGGAAGACCAAGGGUUCCUGUCCAACGUUAAUCGGGGCAGGGUGAGUCGACCCCUAAGGCGAGGCCGAAAGGCGUAGUCGAUGGGAAACGGGUUAAUAUUCCCGUACUUGGUGUUACUGCGAAGGGGGGACGGAGAAGGCUAUGUUGGCCGGGCGACGGUUGUCCCGGUUUAAGCGUGUAGGUGUGUGUUCCAGGUAAAUCCGGUUCACUUUAACACUGAGGCGUGAUGACGAGGCACUACGGUGCUGAAGCAACAAAUGCCCUGCUUCCAGGAAAAGCCUCUAAGCAUCAGGUAACAUCAAAUCGUACCCCAAACCGACACAGGUGGUCAGGUAGAGAAUACCAAGGCGCUUGAGAGAACUCGGGUGAAGGAACUAGGCAAAAUGGUGCCGUAACUUCGGGAGAAGGCACGCUGACACGUAGGUGAAGUGAUUUACUCACGGAGCUGAAGUCAGUCGAAGAUACCAGCUGGCUGCAACUGUUUAUUAAAAACACAGCACUGUGCAAACACGAAAGUGGACGUAUACGGUGUGACGCCUGCCCGGUGCCGGAAGGUUAAUUGAUGGGGUCAGCGCAAGCGAAGCUCCUGAUCGAAGCCCCGGUAAACGGCGGCCGUAACUAUAACGGUCCUAAGGUAGCGAAAUUCCUUGUCGGGUAAGUUCCGACCUGCACGAAUGGCGUAAUGAUGGCCAGGCUGUCUCCACCCGAGACUCAGUGAAAUUGAACUCGCUGUGAAGAUGCAGUGUACCCGCGGCAAGACGGAAAGACCCCGUGAACCUUUACUAUAGCUUGACACUGAACAUUGAGCCUUGAUGUGUAGGAUAGGUGGGAGGCUUUGAAGUGUGGACGCCAGUCUGCAUGGAGCCGACCUUGAAAUACCACCCUUUAAUGUUUGAUGUUCUAACGUGGACCCGUAAUCCGGGUUGCGGACAGUGUCUGGUGGGUAGUUUGACUGGGGCGGUCUCCUCCUAAAGAGUAACGGAGGAGCACGAAGGUUGGCUAAUCCUGGUCGGACAUCAGGAGGUUAGUGCAAUGGCAUAAGCCAGCUUGACUGCGAGCGUGACGGCGCGAGCAGGUGCGAAAGCAGGUCAUAGUGAUCCGGUGGUUCUGAAUGGAAGGGCCAUCGCUCAACGGAUAAAAGGUACUCCGGGGAUAACAGGCUGAUACCGCCCAAGAGUUCAUAUCGACGGCGGUGUUUGGCACCUCGAUGUCGGCUCAUCACAUCCUGGGGCUGAAGUAGGUCCCAAGGGUAUGGCUGUUCGCCAUUUAAAGUGGUACGCGAGCUGGGUUUAGAACGUCGUGAGACAGUUCGGUCCCUAUCUGCCGUGGGCGCUGGAGAACUGAGGGGGGCUGCUCCUAGUACGAGAGGACCGGAGUGGACGCAUCACUGGUGUUCGGGUUGUCAUGCCAAUGGCACUGCCCGGUAGCUAAAUGCGGAAGAGAUAAGUGCUGAAAGCAUCUAAGCACGAAACUUGCCCCGAGAUGAGUUCUCCCUGAGACUUAGAGUCUCCUGAAGGAACGUUGAAGACGACGACGUUGAUAGGCCGGGUGUGUAAGCGCAGCGAUGCGUUGAGCUAACCGGUACUAAUGAACCGUGAGGCUUAACCUUACAACGCCGAAG
rnacentral:rRNA from 1 species